ACUCGCUUUUUAUCAUUCAGGUCAUCUAGAUACUUUUGAGAGGUGACAACGUGCUAGCAGCCCUUGCUCGCUCUCUGCUCCUCCUCGGCCUCGGCGUCCGCUCUGGCCGCGCUGGAGGAGCCCUUCAGCCCGCCGCUGCGCUGUGGGGGCCUCUCUCUGGGGCUGGCAGAGGCCGCAGCCACCGGCUAUCUCUGCUGGCGGGGAGGUGUGGAGGAGGAGGCGCGGGCGGGAGCCGAGGCUGCGCCGGUGGCGCUCCCGCCGGCGCGGGUUCCUGGUGGGCGCAGGCUCAGCGGGCCCCCUACUCUGCGCGGCCAGCCAGCGCCUGCUCAGGGGAGGAGCUCACUCUGGGCUGCUGGAGUGCCCUGGGCUAGGUGCCGCGAAGUCCAGCAGGGAGUGCCAUUGAGAGGUGAAGCCGGCUGGGUCCGGUGGUGACUUGCAGAACUUUUCUGUCUAGCUAAAGGAUUGUAAACGCAGCACUCUGUGUCUAGCUAGAGGUUUGUAAACACACCAAUCAGCACUCUGUCAAAACGCACCAAUCAGCUCUCUGUAAAAUGGACCAGUCAGCUCUCCGUAACAUGGACAAUCAGCAGGAUGUGGGUGGGGCCAGAUAAGGGAAGCAGGCCUCCGAAGCCAGCAGUGGCAACCCACUUGGGUCCCUUUCAAUGCUGUGGAAGCGUUGUUCUUUCACUCUUCUCAAUAAAUCUUGCUGCUGCUCACUCUUUGGGUCUGCCCCGCUGUUAUGAGCUGUAACACUCACAGCCAGUGUCUGCAGUUUCACUCCUGAAGCCAGCAAGACCACAAACCCACAGGGCGGGACAAACAACUCCGGACAGGAGGAAUGAACAACUCUGGACGCGCCACUUCUAUGAACUUUUAUGAACUGUAACACUCACCGCAAAGGUCUGCAGCUUCACCCCUGAGGCCAGGGAGACCACGAACCCACCGGAAGGAAUGAACAACUCCAGACGCACUGCCUUUAAGAGCUGUAACACUUACCACGGAUGUCUGCAGCUUCACUCCUGAAGUCAGCGAGACCACAAACCCAACAGAAGGAAGAAACUCCCGACACAUCUGAACAUCUGAAGGAACAAACUCUGGACACACCAUCUUUAAGAACUGUAACACUCACCGUGAGGGUCAACCGCUUCAUUCUUGAAGUCAGCCAGACCAAGAACCCACCAAUUCCGAGUCUCACUUUGUUGCCUAAGCUAGAGUGCAGCGUCGUGAUCAAGGCUCACUGCAGCCUCAACAUCCUGAUCCCCAGUGUUCCUCCCACCUCAACCUCCCAAGUAGCUGGGACCACAGUCUAUCUGAAUCAUGUUAUUGGACCAUGAGAGCAAGCAGCUGGAUCUCAUUCUGUCCAGGACUCCUGGAAACAGCAGCUCUAACAAAAUUGUCUUCAAUAAAUAAGUUUUUUUGCAUCACAUUUGUGUAUGUCCUGAAUGUUCUGAGCCCUUCAGAUUUGACUCAUAUUCAUGCUAAAAGAAAAA
rnacentral:lncRNA from 1 species